UACCACAACACCAGCAAGCACAACAACUGAGACCACAACAGAGACCACAACAACAGAAAGCACCACAACGGGUACCACAACUCCAGAAAGCACAACAACUGAGACAACAACAGAAAUUACCACAAAAGGUUCAACAACAGCCGAAACCACAACAGACACUACGACAACAGAAAGCACCACAACAGGUACCACAACAACAGAAAGCACCACAACCGAGACCACAGCAGACACUACAACACCAGAAAGCACCACUACAGGUACUACAACAACAGAAAGCACAACAACAGAGACCACAACAGACACAACAACACCAGAAAGUACCACUACAGGAACCACAACAGUUGACACAACAAUAGAUACUACAACAACA